AAAACACACUGUCCCCAGUGUGUUUGAUAAGCUGAUAUUAUAUGGGAGGUUUCGCCCCGCCCUCCGUUGUAUCAGUUUAUCAAACCCAUACCUGGA
rnacentral:pre_miRNA from 1 species